rnacentral:rRNA from 1 species
GAUACGGGCAGGCUAGAGUUCGGUAGGGGAGAUCGGAAUUCCUGGUGUAGCGGUGAAAUGCGCAGAUAUCAGGAGGAACACCGGUGGCGAAGGCGGAUCUCUGGGCCGAUACUGACGCUGAGGAGCGAAAGCGUGGGGAGCGAACAGGAUUAGAUACCCUGGUAGUCCACGCCGUAAACGUUGGGAACUAGGUGUGGGCGACAUUCCACGUCGUCCGUGCCGCAGCUAACGCAUUAAGUUCCCCGCCUGGGGAGUACGGCCGCAAGGCUAAAACUCAAAGGAAUUGACGGGGGCCCGCACAAGCGGCGGAGCAUGUGGCUUAAUUCGACGCAACGCGAAGAACCUUACCAAGGCUUGACAUACACCGGAAACACCCAGAGAUGGGUGCCCCCUUGUGGUCGGUGUACAGGUGGUGCAUGGCUGUCGUCAGCUCGGUCGNGAGAUGUUGGGUUAAGUCCCGCAACGAGCGCAACC